rnacentral:rRNA from 1 species
UGGGGAAUUUUGCGCAAUGGGGGAAACCCUGACGCAGCAACGCCGCGUGAGUGAUGAAGGCUUUCGGGUCGUAAAGCUCUGUCAGAGGGGAAGAAAUGGAAACGGUUAAUACCCGUUUUCCUUGACGGUACCCUCAAAGGAAGCACCGGCUAACUCCGUGCCAGCAGCCGCGGUAAUACGGAGGGUGCAAGCGUUGUUCGGAUUUAUUGGGCGUAAAGCGCGUGUAGGCGGUUUCUUAAGUCUGAUGUGAAAGCCCUGGGCUCAACCCAGGAAGUGCAUUGGAUACUGGGAGACUUGAAUACGGGAGAGGGUAGUGGAAUUCCUAGUGUAGGAGUGAAAUCCGUAGAUAUUAGGAGGAACACCGGUGGCGAAGGCGGCUACCUGGACCGAUAUUGACGCUGAGACGCGAAAGCGUGGGGAGCAAACAGG